rnacentral:rRNA from 2 species
AUUAAAGCGGUACGCGAGCUGGGUUCAGAACGUCGUGAGACAGUUCGGUCCCUAUCCGUCGUGGGCGUAGGAAAUUUGAGAGGAGCUGUCCUUAGUACGAGAGGACCGGGAUGGACACACCGCUGGUGUACCAGUUGUCUUGCCAAAGGCAUCGCUGGGUAGCUAUGUGUGGACGGGAUAAGUGCUGAAAGCAUCUAAGCAUGAAGCCCCCCUCAAGAUGAGAUUUCCCAUAGCGUAAGCUAGUAAGAUCCCUGAAAGAUGAUCAGGUUGAUAGGUCAGAGGUGGAAGCGUGGUGACAUGUGUAGCUGACUGAUACUAAUCGAUCGAGGACUUAACCAAAC